UUUCCCUUUUAUGAAAAUCCUGGAAAUUCCCUCUCCAGCCUUACAUUCUGAAAGCCAUACUUCUAAGUUACAUAUCUUCCCACUUCUUGAUUCUUUCUUUUGGGUAAAAUAAUUCUUCAUUAACUUUUUCUGGUUAAUGGGUGCAUGGAAAGAAACUUUAAGACAUUUCACAUAUUACUAUUGAGUGAUUGUUCCGCUUUGUACGUUUCAUGAAGAAAGAAGCUCUGCUUGUCUCAUUUAUUGCUGCAUCUUCCUUGCAGGACUGGUAUGCAUGGCCACGCAUUGUUAAACAUUCCACACUCACAAUGAGGUUGGUGUGACAGCUGGGGACCAGGCGGAGAUCCGUACUGUGGUGGCACUCAUGCACCUGUUGUUGGUAGUGAACUUCUGGCUGCCAUUCAGUCAGCAGCUGUUAACUACUAAGGUGCCAGGACAAAAUGAAAUGCAACCAAGAAGUCAUGCCCCAUCACAAAGUGCAAUUUGAGGAAAACAAGAAGGCAGAUGUUUUGCCAUUGAGCCAGAAUUAAGGUUGUCAAUUCCAAGGACAAGAUUUGGCAGCAUUCCUGCAACACAAAAAUGUUAUCACUAGGAGUCACUGGCAUGUCAUAGAUCUGGGUUUCCUCCAAGGUAAGCAGUGAGUUGUGGAACUGAAGGGGAUGUGUAGAUUCCAUAGUUGUCUCUACCACCCUCUUACUACCUUAUCUCUUCUCUGCCAUCAUUAAGAUGAAAAUAUGAUUGGGCCAAAGCCUAAUCUUUAUCAUUUACUAAUGAUCUUCAUUAAUAUGCUGUUAUUUCUGCCUUUUCUGAUCGUUUUCAUUUAAAAAAUAUGUUGGUGGUAGCAAGGCAAUCUGGACCAACCGUGUAAUUGACAUUUUGAGUCAUUGGGUAAAAUAUUUUACCAGUGUGCUGUGCUAGGCUCUAAGUCUGUGUUGAGGCCAUGCUAAAAUAUCUGGCCAAAACAGUAAACUAGGUGAACAAUGUAGAUAAAUGACAUCAUGGGGACAACAUUUCCAGAUAAUCUACUGAAUCACUGAGUGACAUGAUUGACGUUUUGGUUUUCUAUAGACACGGAGUCUUGUUUUGUAUCUUCACUGUUGCAAUAACAGAGGAGAAAUCCAUUUCUUUUUUGGAAGACUGUUAUUACUUCAGUGGAAAAAAAAUCAAUCAUUCACAGUCAGAAAACCUGGAGUCUUCACCUACAAAAUUCUAACCACAGUCCAAUCACUACAACUC
rnacentral:lncRNA from 1 species